rnacentral:rRNA from 1 species
ACAUGCAAGUCGAACGAGCGAGAGAGAGCUUGCUUUCUCGAGCGAGUGGCGAACGGGUGAGUAACGCGUGAGGAACCUGCCUCAAAGAGGGGGACAACAGUUGGAAACGACUGCUAAUACCGCAUAAGCCCACGGCUCGGCAUCGAGCAGAGGGAAAAGGAGCAAUCCGCUUUGAGAUGGCCUCGCGUCCGAUUAGCUAGUUGGUGAGGUAACGGCCCACCAAGGCGACGAUCGGUAGCCGGACUGAGAGGUUGAACGGCCACAUUGGGACUGAGACACGGCCCAGACUCCUACGGGAGGCAGCAGUGGGGAAUAUUGCACAAUGGGGGAAACCCUGAUGCAGCGACGCCGCGUGGAGGAAGAAGGUCUUCGGAUCGUAAACUCCUGUUGUUGGGGAAGAUAAUGACGGUACCCAACAAGGAAGUGACGGCUAACUACGUGCCAGCAGCCGCGGUAAAACGUAGGUCACAAGCGUUGUCCGGAAUUACUGGGUGUAAAGGGAGCGCAGGCGGGAAGACAAGUUGGAAGUGAAAUCUAUGGGCUCAACCCAUAAACUGCUUUCAAAACUGUUUUUCUUGAGUAGUGCAGAGGUAGGCGGAAUUCCCGGUGUAGCGGUGGAAUGCGUAGAUAUCGGGAGGAACACCAGUGGCGAAGGCGGCCUACUGGGCACCAACUGA